UUUUAAUUUAGAUCUGGCUCUUCAAAGUUAUCAAACUGCACGAGACUUUUAGUACGUGUAGACUCUGACGUCAUAUAACGUCGCUUGUAAGUAGCAUUACCAAAACAAAGUCUGAACAGGGCUUAUUUUAAUAAAGAAGUUUUAAUCUACUAUUUGUCUGCUAUAUAUCCAUCAAAUCAACGUGGGUGUAUAUUUUUUUUGGAACUUCUUGCUACUGCGAGAACGUUGUUUGUGGGGAGAAGCAAUUCGCAAAGCAUUAUGGGAUCACAGGUAACUGUGGAAAAAAAUUCAUUUGGAUCAAUUUGCAAAGUCAGAAUUUUCUCUUCGCCCAGGCAUUGCUUUUAGAGCUCCCAGUGAUGAGCGGCGCUUUGCGCUGCUCGCUGCGCUCGCUAAUAUCUAUGCUUUUUCAUAUGUUAAUUUAAUAUUAUAACUGGAAAGGAUUGACAGGGAAUCAAACUUGGACUCCUGCAUAGCUUGUAAGCUGCUCUAAUCCACCCAUGCCGACAUCCCGGUCAGCACAAUCCAAACCACUAAGUGUAUCUGGUCACCAGCAAUUGGACCUGCCUGAGCUUCUUGUGUCUGAUCACCAGCAAUUGAACUUGCCUAUCUGCCAUUUUCAUCAAGUUGGAAAUGAUGUAGUUUACUCAAUGGUGUGUAGACUGUCAACAUGUGAAACCUACAUAGUCUCCUCUGUUAAAGAUCACUAAUGGUGGAUAAACAAUGAGUGAUGCAGACUGUUCACCAAAAGGGAGUUUUGACACCUGUAUGCCUAUAUUUCUACCAAUCACCCUGUUAUCUUUUUUGUCAUGUUCUUUGGACAGGUAAAAUAACAAGGUAAAACAAGUAGAAAGAAAAGGCUGGAGCAAAGAUGAGAAAAGCACCAUAUGCCAAGGGUUUGUAAGGAGAGUAGCAGAUCAGAAACCUUUGACUAGAGAAGAUGUGAAUGGAGACAGAUUCUGAUGAUGCCAUCAUUGGGAGGCAGGAUGACUAUAAGACACUAAUUCCUCAUCCAUAAAGAUUUCUACAAGUGGUUCAUUUGAAAUGAAUACAGAUUUCAUUACAAGACGUGUGCAUGGUGCAACAUCCUGGAUGGUGUGUAGUAUGUUUGUUAACAUGUGAAGCCUACGUGUAUUUCAGGGAGUUGUCUCCCAUGUUUAAGAUCAGUAAUGGCGGAUAUACAAUGCAGUAUGCUGUCUGGUCAUCAACAGAGAGUUUUGACACCCGUAUUUCUACCAAUCACCUCUGUAACCUUUGUUGUAUUCAUC